UUUUGCAGAUGUGGCAUAUAUCAUUCUUGAGCCUAAUAUUUUCUUAUAUUUUGUGCUUAAUAAGGUGUUGCAAAGUCAAGAGCAACCACUCUCAAGCAAAAACUAAUCAGAAAGGCUAAAAUAGUUGGCAGAGGCAGUGGAACCACUUUAUCUGCUGGGGAUAUUAGAACUAAUGUAGUCGGCAGCAGCUUUAGCUCUAUGCCUCUGGCAAAUAAGAAUUUGGCGUCUCUCCCAGCUUGCGAUAAGGGAUCUGCACUUCCUCCAAGUUCGCAUAUUCUCGUAAAUAACAACAUUGGGUCUAAACCACUGGGUAGCAGUUAUGGAUCUGCGCUUCCAAAGUCAAGCAUUGGUGAUAAGUCUGGGGUUGGUGUCACUGGUUCUACCCCUCCGAAUCCUAGUGUUGGAGGAAUAAUAUUGGCUAAUGGUAGUGGCUCUAUCCAUGCAUCAAAUACUUAUCAAGAUACCACAGCUACAUGUGCUUCGGAUCCAAGCGCAAAUUCUGGUUGUUGGUAAAAGUAAAACAUAGAUGUUGUGGGAGUAGAAACUUUGCAUUACUUGGCUCUUCUAUGGCGAUUGGGAUCUAGUUAUAGGUGACAAUGCUUAGCAGCAGCUAAGGAUGCUAUCUUCAGCUCAACUUAUUUGCUCUCUACUCAUCGUCUUCAAGCGCUGUACAUAUUUCAUAUCUCAAUCAGUGGGUUAAAACCAGUGGAAGCAAGAACUCCACUGAUUUAUAUCUUAAAGGCAUUCUUUGGCCUUGUAAUCCCCUUGUAUAUAUCAAUUUUAGGAAGUUAGUAUAGGAAUUCUGGAAUUGUGAGGUGCCAAUUUCUUGGUGGAGCUCUCUCUCUUGUCCGAGUGAGGGGGAAACGAAAUUAGUGCACUGAAAGCAAUAUCGAUCCGGAAAAUGUACAUAUUCCAUAUUUUUACAAUAUUAGGUCUUUUUUGUACUACUAAAUGACCGCAGAGAUAUCUACUGCCAUCCCUCGUAAAAAGUGAGAUUUGUAAAUUGUAAUCUUAGAAAUAAGAUAAAUUACUUGUUCUAACGGAGAAAUUUGAUUUGAUAUUGUAAAA